CUGCCCCCGCGGGGCUGCAGCGCCGUCCUGGGGGCCGCGGCGGAGUCCUCCUUGGGCCGGCCGGGCGCCCUUUCCGUGCCUGCAGCCUCCGUGCCGGGGCCCGGGGCGCAGUCUGCGCGUGGUGGGCCGCGGCGGAGGCCUGCGUUAGGGUGGCUGCCCGGUCGCUGAAGCCGGGACGGCGCUGUCACCACUCCCUUGGGGCACGCGAGCAGCCCGCGGUGACCAGGAAUAUUUUACAUAAAUACAUUGCAACUUAAGAAAGUAGACUUUAAAAAUCUGAGCAAAACUGGGCCUGAAAAAACAUCUCACGAACAACUAAUUAAUAUGAAGAAUAAAUAAAACAAAGAGGUGGCAGUGAUUUGGUGACAUGACUGAAAGAAAGUCAUCGCAAUAUGUAGAAAAGGCUCCAGACUGCCAGCUUGUGAAUCCAGYCUGUUCCAGGGUCCUGUGUCGACCAUGCAAACUUAAUAAUCAAAACCUUAAAAUAAAGGUCAGGAGUACUAAAUUUGGAUGUCCAGUUUGAUUUCACAAGGGUGUGAUUUUUAAAAAC
rnacentral:lncRNA from 1 species